rnacentral:rRNA from 1 species
GAUGAACGCUAGCUACAGGCUUAACACAUGCAAGUCGAGGGGAAACGGCAUCGAAAGCUUGCUUUUGAUGGGCGUCGACCGGCGCACGGGUGAGUAACGCGUAUCCAACCUGCCCAUCACUUGGGAAUAACCUUGCGAAAGUAAGACUAAUGCCCAAUGACAUCCCACGAAGGCAUCCGAAUGGGAUUAAAGAUUUAUCGGUAAUGGAUGGGGAUGCGUCUGAUUAGCUUGUUGGCGGGGUGACGGCCCACCAAGGCAACGAUCAGUAGGGGUUCUGAGAGGAAGGUCCCCCACAUUGGAACUGAGACACGGUCCAAACUCCUACGGGAGGCAGCAGUGAGGAAUAUUGGUCAAUGGGCGAGAGCCUGAACCAGCCAAGUAGCGUGCAGGAUGACGGCCCUAUGGGUUGUAAACUGCUUUUAUAAGGGAAUAAAGUGGGUCACGUGUGACUUUUUGCAUGUACCUUAUGAAUAAGGACCGGCUAAUUCCGUG